rnacentral:pre_miRNA from 1 species
UGAGGUUUGAGCUACUGGCUACUUAUUUCUCUUGGUAGCCAGCAGCCAAACCUUUAGU